AAUGUGCGGGCGCAGGCGAGACCCGAGGACUGGCAGGCAGCCGGGCAGUGGAAGCUCGUCUGCCACCUGCUACGUUAGUCGCGGGGGAAGGGAAGAGGAACAGAAUCGAAAUACGCCUCCCACCCCCGCUCCUCUCAAUUCACUGUAGGUGUUUAUCACAGUAGGUCACAGUAUGACCAAGCUUUACUCUCUUCUCUUUUCUCUUACCCUCCAGAAAUUUUAAGAAAAUACACUACCUUUCAAUGAAACGCCUCUCUUUUUCAUCUUCUGCCAGUGCUGUCUAAUCAAAAUAUGAGAGCCACAAAUGCAAGCCACUUACAUAAUUAUAAAUUUUCUAGAAUGCACCUUACGCGAGUGAAAAGAAACAGGUGAAAUUAAUUUACAUAAUAUCAUUUACUUAAGUAGAUUCCAAAUGGUAUCAUUCCAACAUGUAAUUAAUAAAGAUACAAAAUUUUUUCAUACUAAUCAAAAUCCAAUGUGUAUUCUAGGCUUGUGGCAUAUCUCACUUAGGAUGAAGCCAUUUGAAGUGCUCAGUAGCCCUCUGAGGCUAGUUGCUACUGCACUGCACAACAAAUUUCUAUCCAUUAUUUAUGUGUAAAUUAUUGUUUUUUAAAAACCAGCUCUGAUGGUGCUAAAGCCAAAUGAGAGGAAAAUGUAAGUAAUAAAAAGGAAAAAAAAAUGAUUUUUUCAGUAUGAAAUUGAAACAUCUUCACAAAUUGAUUGUAGCCCUGUAUUUUAAGCAAGGCUUAAUGUUUUUCAAUUUUGUCAUCUUGAGAAUCAUUUGUUAGGAAAAAAUAAACCUGUUAACAAUUUCUUCUUGCUAAUAAAGAAAACACUGACAUCUUCACCUAAAUGAAGGAGGAAAAUAGCUCUGAUGAAGGCGUGCAUUCUCAGUCCUGUCCACUCUGUGCAACCCCAUGGACUAUAUAGCCCGCCAGGCUCCUCUGUCCAUGGGAUUCUUCAGGGGAGAACGUUGGAGUGGGUUGCCAUUUCCUCUGCCAGGAGAUUUUCCCAACCCAGGGAUGAAACCCACAUCUUCUUCAUCUCCUGCAUUGGCAGGCAGAUUCUUUAUCAUUGAGCCACCUGUAAAGCCCUAAUGAAGGCAAUCAUGAAUAAAUGUUUAACACUGUUGAUUGUUGGCAAAAAUAAGUCAGGGAUGGAAGCCAGCAAAAAGUGUGGUUCCUCGGUGCUGAGAAAGAAUGUAGGGUUCAAAGUAGGCCAGAAGUUUGGUUUGGAUCCUGGUUUAGACCCUUAAUGCCUGGGUGGUCUUGGCUGACCUAUCCUAGGACAUGCACCUGAGUGCCCAUGCACCCCUCAGCCAAGGUGGAUCUUCAAAUGAAGGCUUCUAGAAGGAGCAAGACUUAUUAUGGCCUGGCAUUAUUCCUUGACUUUUGACCCACAAGGAGACUUUCUGCCCAUGUGUAGUAUCUCCCUCUUCCCAAAAGAAGGGGGAGCUGAGAUCCCUUAAUCCUUUACUCAGAAAGAGUUUUGCCCCUCUUUGUCCUUACCAUGACUAUUACCUUGACUAUUGCCAUGACUAUUACCCUAAGGUGUUUAUAAGGACAAAUACUGACUAUUUACCCUCUUUCUGUUGUUACUUCCAUUUUGGAGGGCAAACGGGAGGGUGACUGUAAAUGCCUUCACUGGAGGUCACCUGUCUCUUGUCUCAAGAAAUGCUAACAGUUAUUAAGUACCCAACCUGAAGCCCACUUCUUCAUGACCCAUGAAAUAAAAACAGGAGGCCAGUUGUAAAUGUCUAACCUGCAGGCC
ensembl:lncRNA